CAUGUCCUUGCUCACACAUGGUACCUGUCCGCUGACUCCCAGCUCUUCGCUGUUUCUCUUCUAACGCUUGCCCUGCUGCAAGGCCGGAAAGCGCUAGCCAUAGGAGCAUUUACCCUGCUGGCUCUGCUUGGAUACGCCAUUGCAGCUUGGGCACUGGAGUCUUCGGACUCGUUGCCGUUCUUGAUAUUUCCGGAGGAUUCACCUGAAAGAUAUAUCUUAACGGUCAACUUGCACUACAUACAGCCUUUCAUUCACGCCC
rnacentral:lncRNA from 1 species